rnacentral:rRNA from 1 species
UACGGGGGGGGCAAGCGUUGUUCGGAAUUACUGGGCGUAAAGGGCUCGUAGGCGGCCGACUAAGUCGGAUGUGAAAUCCCCAGGCUUAACCUGGGAACUGCAUCCGAUACUGGAUGGCUUGAAUCCGGGAGAGGGAUGCGGAAUUCCAGGUGUAGCGGUGAAAUGCGUAGAUAUCUGGAGGAACACCGGUGGCGAAGGCGGCAUCCUGGACCGGCAUUGACGCUGAGGAGCGAAAGCCAGGGGAGCAAACGGG